rnacentral:rRNA from 1 species
CCUACGGGUGGCAGCAGUGAGGAAUAUUGGUCAAUGGCCGAGAGGCUGAACCAGCCAAGUCGCGUGAGGGCAGACGGCCCUAUGGGUUGUAAACUUCUUUUGUCGGGGAGUACAGCGAGUUACGUGUGACUCAUUGUGAGUACCCGAAUAAUAAGCAUCGGCUAACUCCGUGCCAGCAGCCGCGGUAAUACGGAGGAUGCGAGCGUUCACCGGCUUUUUGGGGUUUAAAGGAUGUGAAGGCGGAUUUUUAAGUCAGCGCGAAAAUCGGGGGGCUCAACCUAAUCCAGGCGUUGAAACUGGGGGUCUAGAGUGUGCGAGAGGUAUGCGGAAUGCGGGGGGUAGCGGGGAAAUGCAUAGAUAUCACGCAGAACCCCGAUUGCGAAGGCAGCAUACCGGUGCACAACUGACGCUGAGGCACGAAAGCGUGGGUAUCGAACAGGAUUAGAUACCAGAGUAGUC